GGGCGGGUAGCUCAGUUGGAAGAGCAUCGCCCUUACAAGGCGAGGGUCACAGGUUCGAGCCCUGUUCCGCCCA
rnacentral:tRNA from 1 species